ACAACCAAGAUGGCGCCCGGGC
rnacentral:miRNA from 1 species